CAGACAAUGAUUACUGGCUCUUCUGUUUUAGGCCCGCCUGUUUGAUGUUGUAAACUGUUAAUAAAAGGCUUUGCCAUGAAGGGAUCUGUGGGAGAAGGUGAUGGCUUUCCAAGCCAGCAUUCUUCUCUCCACCCGGCACACGCUGACGUCACAAAA